CACUUAAAACUAAACAAACCAUUUGGGUUAGAUUGGGAAAGCAAACAAGUCAGCAACUUUUUAGCAUAAGCAUGUGCAAGAUUCAAGCCAAUCUACAAAUUACAUAAAGUUGAGCACAUAAAAAAGCAACACCUCGUGAGAUCCUAAAAGGCCGCUUAACACACAUGAGCUUUUCACUGAAUAUUCACCAUUUAAAAUAAGAAGAUAGAGAGAGAGAGAGAGAGA